rnacentral:rRNA from 1 species
GAGGUCCGAAUAGUGGGGGAGGAAACAGGAUGAAGGAACCUGGUUGGCCACACCGGUAACGGGGGGUACUAGGUGUCGGGGGUUACCCCCUUCGGGGCCGCAGCUAACGCAUUAAGGACUCCGCCUGGGAAGUACGCUCGCAAGAGGGAAACUCAAAGGAAUUGACGGGGACCCGCACAAGUAGCGGAGCAUGUGGUUUAAUUCGAAGCAACGCGAAGAACCUUACCUAAGC